UUGUCUGUAGAGAAAAAGAAACGUCAAUUUUUAUUUUCUCUUAUCAUCUUUGACAUUCUGAUUUUCUCAAAUCUGAGAUAUUUGAAGUUCUUUAUCUGAUUCUUCCAUGUCAACAAAAAAAAAUAAUAGAUUAAUUCAGAAGGUAAUCAUGUAGAGAGAAGCAUCGAUCAUUGCCUGUCCAUAUCGUUUUCAUUUCCACGAUGCAAGAUUGGAAUGGUUCCAGGAAACAUAUUGGGGGAGAUUCGUUUAUUACAAUAAAAUCAGCAGGUGAUUCAAUCUUAUCAGUUGUGGACAGCCAUAUAUGAUUUGAGAUAGGCAUCAGAAACUAAACAAUGGGAGUUUUCCUUCACUUAGCCUCACUCACAAGGAGGUGGGUGGAUUUUCUACACAAAUCGCGUGAUGGUCAGAGAGAUUAUCCAACUUUCGUAAUUCUUGUAUCUGUUGACUUGGUUUUUGAGGGAUGGGUCAAAGUCUUUUAAGUUAAAUCCUAACGGAUCCUGUGCCCCCUUUAUCUUUGUCCACAAAUAAAUACCAUUCUGCAUCAGAUAAAAGUUAUGUUUUUUUUUCGGAGACUAUGAAGAUAAAUUCAGCUGGUCUUUGUGUUGUUAAAAUUCAUCUGAUCAAUUCGUUUCUGUAGGA